GACGAACGCUGUCGGCGUGCUUAACACAUGCAAGUCGAACGGAGUGGCGAACGGGUGAGUAACACGUUGUUGAUCUUCCUUGCACUUCGGGAUAAGCUUGGGAAACUGGGUCUAAUACCGGAUAGUGCAAGAUGAGCUCGCGGCCUAUCAGCUUGUUGGUGGGGUAAUGGCUUCCCAAGGCGUCGAAGGGUAGCCGGCCUGAGAGUGUGUACGGCCACAUUGGGACUGAGAUACGGCCCAGACUCCUACGGGAGGCAGCAGUGGGGAAGAGUGCACAAUGGGCGGAAGCCUGAUGCAGCGACGCCGCGUGGGGGAUGAAGGCCUUCGGGUUGUAAACUCCUUUCGACAGGGACGCGGUACCUGUAUAAGAAGCACCGGCUAACUACGUGCCAGCAGCCGCGGUAAUUC
rnacentral:rRNA from 1 species